rnacentral:ncRNA from 1 species
AUCUUCAGGGCGAGGUGAAAGUCCUCACUGGCGGUAACGCAGAUGCGAAGCCCGCGACCCCACUUGUUUUUCAUUACCGUGUCGUGCUUGUUAGUGAGACAACGGAGGAAGUAAUAGGUGGGCUGAUUCGGUGAAAAUCCGAGGCCAACGGUUAAAGUCCGGAUGGAAGAAGAUG